AUCAAAAGCACUUUGAAAAGAGGGUGAAAAGAACCUGAAACCGUCAUGGGGGAAGCGGAUUGCGUUGAAUUGGUGGCUGUGUGUGUGUUCAGCUUGUAAUAUUUUUUCAGGUGCAUUGGCACGUACGGUUACUCACUGUGGGCUCUUGUUGGACGAUUUUGGGUCCGACGGGGGCUGAGGGAUCCUCUUUUAUGGGUGAGGACAGUGAGGUAGUGACGCGAUACGACCCGUCUUGAAACACGGACCAAGGAGUCUAGCGCGGCUGCGAGUCGAAGGGUGGAAAAACCUGAAGGCGCAGUGAAAGCAAAUAUAUUUUGAAACUGAUUUUAUUGAGCAAGUUGAGGCGGCAUAAGGUUGUUAACCUUAGGUCCGACCCAGAGCAGUUGCGCUGGGACCCGAAAGAUGGUGAACUAUGCCGGAGUAGGGCAAAGCCAGAGGAAACUCUGGUGGAGGCUCGUAGCGGUGCUGACGUGCAAAUCGCUCGUCCAACUUGGGUAUAGGGGCGAAAGACUAAUCGAACCAUCUAGUAGCUGGUUCCCUCCGAAGUUUCUCUCAGGAUAGCGGGCCGACGAUGUGUUGUUUUGUGC
rnacentral:rRNA from 1 species